rnacentral:rRNA from 1 species
UAAUACGGAGGAUGCAAGCGUUAUCCGGAUUUAUUGGGUUUAAAGGGUGCGUAGGCGGAACGGUAAGUCAGUGGUGAAAUCCUGUUGCUUAACAACAGAACUGCCAUUGAUACUGCCGAUCUUGAGUACAUUUGAUGUGGGCGGAAUGUGUCGUGUAGCGGUGAAAUGCUUAGAUAUGACACAGAACACCGAUUGCGAAGGCAGCUCACAAAACUGUAACUGACGCUGAGGCACGAAAGCGUGGGUAUCAAACAGGAUUAGAUACCCUGGUAGUCCACGCUGUAAACCAUGAAUACUCGAUGUGUGCGAUACACUGUACGCGUCCAAGCGAAAGCGUUAAGUAUUCCACCUGGGGAGUACGGUCGCAAGGCUG